AUUGAACGCUGGCGGCAGGCUUAACACAUGCAAGUCGAGCGGAGAUGAGGUGCUUGCACCUUAUCUUAGCGGCGGACGGGUGAGUAAUGCUUAGGAAUCUGCCUAUUAGUGGGGGACAACAUUCCGAAAGGAAUGCUAAUACCGCAUACGUCCUACGGGAGAAAGCAGGGGAUCUUCGGACCUUGCGCUAAUAGAUGAGCCUAAGUCGGAUUAGCUAGUUGGUGGGGUAAAGGCCUACCAAGGCGACGAUCUGUAGCGGGUCUGAGAGGAUGAUCCGCCACACUGGGACUGAGACACGGCCCAGACUCCUACGGGAGGCAGCAGUGGGGAAUAUUGGACAAUGGGCGGAAGCCUGAUCCAGCCAUGCCGCGUGUGUGAAGAAGGCCUUUUGGUUGUAAAGCACUUUAAGCGAGGAGGAGGCUACUGAGACUAAUACUCUUGGAUAGUGGACGUUACUCGCAGAAUAAGCACCGGCUAACUCUGUGCCAGCCGCCGCCGUAAUAC
rnacentral:rRNA from 1 species